rnacentral:tRNA from 1 species
UUAAUCGAAGCCAAAAUAGAGGCUUAUCAUUGUUAAUGAUACUAAUGAAAUUGUAUUUCCGAUUAAG